rfam:Stegodyphus mimosarum contig10124, whole genome shotgun sequence.
GCCUUCGUGGUGUAGUGGUCAGCCUGCUCGGCAUGUAUUCGAGAGGUCAGUGGUUCAAUUCCCGGCGAGGGCA